ensembl:lncRNA
AUUUGAUCGUUCUUCCUACCUGCGGCACUUGCGGCUAGUAGUGUGCCAGUGCCACGGUCUACAGAGUCGGAGGAUGAUGGCUGCGAGAAUUCAGCUGUUUAAGGUACUGCAAUUUCGGCUGUGCAUGUAUUUUUGGAAUUUAAUUGCUGCAAUAAAUUAUGUUGUUGACUUCUAACAUGUUCUGCAUUCCUGCAAACUUGUCGCUUUUCGACGACAAUCACCGUUUUCUUGGUCAAUUGGGUCAUUCACGUGAAUCGCGUAGAACCAAAGAGUUUUUUUAGGGGGGGGGGGGGGAAGCUGUCCUUAUGCAUGAGACACCUGGCUACCGCGCGAGUCUGAUGGAAACUCUUGACGUCAAUUUGAAGUAGGGGUGUACGGUAUAAAUGGUAUAGAAAGUACACCAGUGUGAAUUUGAGCAGAACAAAUCUUAAUUUUUCUUUAAAGAAAGCCCCUUGUGACAACUACUGAUAUAAAAAGGGCUUUAUGAAAUAUGUUUGUUUAAUAUAUAAGAGUAAUCUGCCCUAUGAAAGAUAGGUAUAAGACAUGCUUUUGUUAGUGAUAUGAAGGAGGAAAAAUUCGUGCAAAUCUCUGUCCUGGGCACAACCUACUACAAAAACAGGUGCUAUUCAUGCAUGAAAAUUACUCAAUUUCAAUAGCUUUUCGGAGUUAAUAAAGAAACAGUUAAUUGAAAUGUAUUGGCCCACUUCAGCCAGAAUAUGGCCUCCUGCCAUAUUCUGACUCAGGUCUUCCACACAUAGCAGCACUCACCUGGGGUGUGUACAUGUUAGCACAGACGACUUGAUGGCAUUGAUGAAGAGGAAUCCCAAACAGUCGAUGUCUGAGCCAGUUCCCCUGCAAUCCCAGGCAGACUCCAGACCCGACAUCGAUAGAGUACUCGGUCUGGCGGUGUAUACUUGCUCCUUUUAAGUAUAACAUUGCUUGGGGAGUCCAAUUCCUCCAAUGAAAAGGGUGCAAAGUGCUUACAACUCCCUGCUAGUUAGCG